rnacentral:rRNA from 1 species
GAUGAACGCUGGCGGCGUGCCUAAUACAUGCAAGUCGAGCGAACAGACGAGGAGCUUGCUCCUCUGACGUUAGCGGCGGACGGGUGAGUAACACGUGGAUAACCUACCUAUAAGACUGGGAUAACUUCGGGAAACCGGAGCUAAUACCGGAUAAUAUAUUGAACCGCAUGGUUCAAUAGUGAACGACGGUUUUGCUGUCACUUAUAGAUGGAUCCGCGCCGCAUUAGCUAGUUGGUAAGGUAACGGCUUACCAAGGCAACGAUGCGUAGCCGACCUGAGAGGGUGAUCGGCCACACUGGAACUGAGACACGGUCCAGACUCCUACGGGAGGCAGCAGUAGGGAAUCUUCCGCAAUGGGCGAAAGCCUGACGGAGCAACGCCGCGUGAGGGAUGAAGGUCUUCGGAUCGUAAAACUCUGUUAUUAGGGAAGAACAAAUGUGUAAGUAACUAUGCACGUCUUGACGGUACCUAAUCAGAAAGCCACGGCUAACUACGUG